UGUGACAUGUCCCCCGUGAUGUCACAGGUGUCACAGCACAUCACAGCCCAGCCAGCCCCACCUUUGUCCCCACCCCCACUCAGCCACUCACAGAGGCCCUGGUGUGCUGUUUAAGGCUGCCUUGGAGGGAAUCUUCUUCCAAGAACUCCCACUGUUCUUUCUUUUGGGUUUGUUCUCAUCUGCCCUCCACUGACAAUCUCCCACAUCUCCAUGUUGGAAGGCACCCUUGAGGCUCACUAACUUUUGACUCCUCACUGCUUGAGCUACACGUCAAUCUCUGAGUCAGUGAGGUUGAAAAGGUCCCUGAUGAUCACACAGUCCAACUGCAACCUUAACACUGCCUAUUGCACCAAUCAGCCAGGUCCCCAAAUGCCACAUCCCCAUGACUUUUAAACCUUUCUGAAGGUGCUGGCUCAGCCAUUUCCCUAGGCAGCAGCCUGUUCCCAAGCUAGACAGCCUUUUUGUUGAAGGAAGAUUUCCUAGAGGUUCAAUCUAAACCUCCCGGGGCGCAACUUGAGGUCAUUUUCCUCUGAUUUCCUCCUGUUGUUUGUUCCCUGAGCUAAUAGCAUGAGCCCCACUGAGCUCCAACCUCCUUUCAGGAACCAGGGGCAUGGUGUCAGGUGCUUGGGCUGAGGUGAAGGCAGCUCCUGGCAGAGGAGAGAAAGCUGGUGCUUUUGCACUGCACUUCCCACCACCCAGGGGGACAAAAGUGGCUGUGGGUGGGGAGAAGAGUUUCAGGUUGCCCGGGAGCGUUUCCAUAAAAUGGAAAUGUUUGGAGUGAAAGUCAGCGCUGCAAUGUCCCUGGAUGCCCGUGUGGAUUUUGCUACCCUGCAAGGACACACUGUGAGGAGGGGAUCCCAAGAAACGCCCUCUCGCUCGGGGGCCUUCCAUGGCACGACAGCACAAGUGAGAGCCCUUGCUUGGCCUUUGCCUUCAGCAAGGCCCCGGGUUGGGCCAAGCCUCAAUGCCCUGUGAAAGCAGCUCAGAUUGGCCGUGCCCAGCAUGAAGGAUGCCAGAGGACAGAGAGGCAGGCUCAGCAGCGUGCUAGUGCAGUCCAGCUUAGGCUGCAGCUUUCUGCCCUUGUAUCUCUGGAGCCUUGGAGGGGAAGGCUGCGUGGCUUGCGGUGACUUUCACCAGCGCUCCUGCUAACAGCACUGGGCACCCCAAGGCUCUUUGGUCUCAGCGCAGGCAAGAGCAGGAAGAAACAAACCCUCACCUGGCUUUGUAAACCCCUGAGACAAGCAAAGACGAGCAGUGUGCAGAGAAGGGACCAUUGGCACUGCGCAGCAGCUUCUCUCCGCCAUAAAUCACAGAAAAUUCAAACA